rnacentral:rRNA from 1 species
UACAGAGGUCCCGAGCGUUGUUCGGAUUCACUGGGCGUAAAGGGUGCGUAGGCGGGUCUUUUAAGUCAGGGGUGAAAUCCUGGAGCUCAACUCCAGAACUGCCCUUGAUACUGAGGAUCUUGAGUUCGGGAGAGGUGAGUGGAACUGCGAGUGUAGAGGUGAAAUUCGUAGAUAUUCGCAAGAACACCAGUGGCGAAGGCGGCUCACUGGCCCGAUACUGACGCUGAGGCACGAAAGCGUGGGGAGCAAACAGG